rnacentral:lncRNA from 1 species
AUUCAUUCAUUUGCAUUCAAAGAAAUAAAUUUUCCCAAAACAACUGUCAACGUGAGUGAAAACGGCUAGGACGUAUUCAAUCCUCGACACAAAAAAAGAAGUUAAUACUAAUUUUUUUUUAAUUUGAUAUUCCUGUUAUAACUGUUAUAUAACCAUUUUCUCAUAUAAAUAUAAACAUAAAUCUUUCUUUACAGUGCUUUCUUUCACGUCCGCGAUAUGGUCUAUAAAUAGAAUUUGAAAAUGAAAGUACUAGUGCUAUUUUAAAACAAAUAAUUUAUAGUAAAAAUAAAUAUUGAAAAGCAAAAGAGUUUAAUUGCUUUCUGUGUGACAUGAAAUUUGUAAAAUAUAAUGUCGGAAAUUACUUCAGACGGGUAAGCAAGAGAAAGUGACAAUAAACUUGAACGAGAAUCGUAAUGACUAAAGGUGAUGGGGACCUUCCGCAUGAACAAACGGGAACUCCGAAGUAAAACUGUCUUUCAAAAUGAACGAAAAUUUAAAAGAAAUGAAUACACGUUGCUUUUCAGUCAAUUUGAAUUGAAUGGAACAUUGUGAAUUACAAGCUUCCAGCAUGAAAAAGCGGCAAGGGAAAAAUAUAGAUCCGCUGAUUGAAAAUUACGGCUUUACCGCCA